rnacentral:pre_miRNA from 1 species
AAGCAGUGUGACAUGCCCGUUUUGGUGAUAUACUCUGAUGUAUUAUUUAUUAUUUAAUUGUUUGGGAUAACGAGGUGUUCCAAUUGGU